UGGGGGAGAGAACAGGUAGACAGCAUCCUCAGCGUCCCCAGAGAAGCUGACACCUAUUCUCUCCCCAGUGAU
rnacentral:pre_miRNA from 1 species